GACAGGUGGUGCAUGGUUGUCGUCAGCUCGUGUCGUGAGAUGUUGGGUUAAGUCCCGCAACGAGCGCAACCCCUAUUGUUAGUUGCCAUCAUUCAGUUGGGCACUCUAGCGAGACUGCCGGUAAUAAACCGGAGGAAGGUGGGGAUGACGUCAAAUCAUCAUGCCCCUUAUGACCUGGGCUACACACGUGCUACAAUGGUUGGUACAACGAGUUGCGAGUCGGUGACGGCGAGCUAAUCUCUUAAAGCCAAUCUCAGUUCGGAUUGUAGGCUGCAACUCGCCUACAUGAAGUCGGAAUCGCUAGUAAUCGCGGAUCAGCACGCCGCGGUCGAAUACGUUCCCGGGCCUU
rnacentral:rRNA from 1 species